GACGAACGCUGGCGGCGUGCCUAAUACAUGCAAGUAGAACGCUGAAGAGAGGAGCUUGCUCUUCUUGGAUGAGUUGCGAACGGGUGAGUAACGCGUAGGUAACCUGCCUUGUAGCGGGGGAUAACUAUUGGAAACGAUAGCUAAUACCGCAUAACAAUGGAUGACACAUGUCAUUUAUUUGAAAGGGGCAAUUGCUCCACUACAAGAUGGACCUGCGUUGUAUUAGCUAGUAGGUGAGGUAACGGCUCACCUAGGCGACGAUACAUAGCCGACCUGAGAGGGUGAUCGGCCACACUGGGACUGAGACACGGCCCAGACUCCUACGGGAGGCAGCAGUAGGGAACCUUCGGCAAUGGGGGCAACCCUGACCGAGCAACGCCGCGUGAGUGAAGAAGGUUUUCGGAUCGUAAAGCUCUGUUGUAAGUCAAGAACGAGUGUGAGAGUGGAAAGUUCACACUGUGACGGUAGCUUACCAGAAAGGGACGGCUAACUACGUG
rnacentral:rRNA from 1 species